rnacentral:rRNA from 1 species
AUACGGAGGGUGCAAGCGUUAAUCGGAAUUACUGGGCGUAAAGCGUACGUAGGCGGUCCGUUAAGUUAGAUGUGAAAGCCACGGGCUUAACCUGGGAACUGCAUUUAAAACUGGCGAACUAGAGUUGAGUAGAGGGGAGUGGAAUUUCAGGUGUAGCGGUGAAAUGCGUAGAGAUCUGAAGGAACACCAGUGGCGAAGGCGACUCCCUUAACUCGAACUGACGCUGAGGUACGAAAGCGUGGGUAGCAAACGGGAUUAGAACCCCUAGUAGUCC